UACGAAGGGGGCUAGCGUUGUUCGGAAUUACUGGGCGUAAAGCGCACGUAGGCGGAUAUUUAAGUCAGGGGUGAAAUCCCAGAGCUCAACUCUGGAACUGCCUUUGAUACUGGGUAUCUUGAGUAUGGAAGAGGUGAGUGGAAUUCCGAGUGUAGAGGUGAAAUUCGUAGAUAUUCGGAGGAACACCAGUGGCGGAAGGCGGCUCACUGGUCCAUUACUGACGCUGAGGUGCGAAAGCG
rnacentral:rRNA from 1 species